rnacentral:rRNA from 1 species
AACGAACGCUGGCGGCAUGCCUAACACAUGCAAGUCGAACGAGACCUUCGUGUCUAGUGGCGCACGUGUGCUUAACACGUGGUAACCUGCCCUUAGGUUCGGUAUAACUCCCCUAAGGGGUUCUUAAUACCGCUUAGGCUCUUCCGGCAAAGGAGUUAUCGCGUUUGGGUGGGGCCGCGUCGGUUUAGCUAGUUGGUAGUGUAAAAGCAUACCAAGGACAUGAUCCUUGGCUGGUCUGUGAGGAUGACAAGCCACAAUGGGAAUGAGACACGGCCCAGCACCGUACGGGAGGGAGCAGUGGGGAAUACUGGACACUGGGCGCAAGCCUAAUACCGCAAUGCCGGGGGAGUGAUGAAGGGCUUAGGGUUGUAAAGCCCUUUUAGACGGGACGAUAAUGACAGUAACGGGAGAAGAAGCUCCGGCUAACUACGUG